rnacentral:hammerhead_ribozyme from 1 species
GUACUGCUGAGGAGUCCUGGGCCAGGACGAAACGACCGUCCAGUGC